rnacentral:rRNA from 1 species
GACGAACGCUGGCGGCGUGCCUAAUACAUGCAAGUAGAACGCUGAAGCUUGGUGCUUGCACCGAGCGGAUGAGUUGCGAACGGGUGAGUAACGCGUAGGUAACCUGCCUGGUAGCGGGGGAUAACUAUUGGAAACGAUAGCUAAUACCGCAUAAGAGUAGAUGUUGCAUGACAUUUGCUUAAAAGGUGCAAUUGCAUCACUACCAGAUGGACCUGCGUUGUAUUAGCUAGUUGGUGAGGUAACGGCUCACCAAGGCAACGAUACAUAGCCGACCUGAGAGGGUGAUCGGCCACACUGGGACUGAGACACGGCCCAGACUCCUACGGGAGGCAGCAGUAGGGAAUCUUCGGCAAGGGACGGAAGUCUGACCGAGCAACGCCGCGGGAGUGAAGAAGGGUUUCGGAUCGUAAAGCUCUGUUGUAAGAGAAGAACGAGUGUGAGAGUGGAAAGUUCACACUGUGACGGUAUCUUACCAGAAAGGGACGGCUAACUACGUG